AGCAGAAACAAGAAAGCAUCCCUCAAAAACACAAAGUCUAUGAAAUGCUGAAUUCUUGAGGAAGAAAAAAACUUCUCAGAAAGAAGAAAAGUUUUUGAAAUGCUCCACUGUCUACACCUAAGGAGACAGAAAAAAAUAUUAUUGGGGUCUACAUCAAGUAAACUGGAAUUACAGUGACAGAGAAAGAACCCAAGCAGAGGAUUGUUCUUUUGACGGUCUUGAGGAGUUUAUUCCACAUAGAGCUGAUGAAUGAACAAGCAGAGAGACUCAUUGAGGCGGGAGGUCUGCUGGACCCCAGGAGUUUCAAAGAAGGAUCUGUGCAUCUUCUUGAUUAAGCCUCUGCCUUGAAAUCUCAAGAGUGCAGCUGACUGGAAGGUAAGACUUCUUCAUACACAUUUCAAGGAAGUAAGUUUUCUGGAACCAAGAGGAUGGCUACAUAACAUGAAUUGACCUCAUCAAGUUUUCAUCUGGCAGUUGUACGAGUGUCAACAAGCAGAUGCAGUGAAGAUUUUGCAGGGAGCCUUACUCACAUCGCAGACUGAGAGUUAAUAAAACAGAAGAGUUUGGGGGCAGCUUCAACAGUAGACCUAACCAGAGCUGCAUCCUGACCCCUGAAACAAAUAACUUGCCUUUUAUUUUUAUAACUUCUACGAGCUUCAGAAUUUAAGGAGUAGAGGCACUUUCUUCUGCUUUGCAUUGGUCUCUUAAAAUCAGGAUGUCUGAUACCGUGUGCUUCACAGGCUGCAGAAAUAAUUCUGAAUGCCUCAUUACCUGUCAGGAGAAUAUACUAAUAGGAGCUCUGUCUUCUAUUAUCAGAGCUCAAACAAAAUCUGUUCUCUGCCAAAAAUUAUCGCUUGCCUGUAGCAAAUCUUUUGUGCUCUUCAUUCUCCCACCACCUGUAAAUUGUAGGUUCACAGGCCCCGUAAAUAUGAUCUAUGCUAAAUAAUAAUGUUGCAGGGGUACUUUGGGUCCCAGAGAGGCAGUAGCUCAGGUUUAUUCUCAUCUGUAAGCAGCAGGCUGACUCGGCACUCACCAGUUCAAGCAUUGGCCAAACAAGGCCUGACUUCUUGCUCUUCCUCUCUCUUCUGCCUUGGCUGAUGUGGUGGGUACUUGCUUGUGGCCAUAGGGCCAAGAAGGAUAGCUCUGCCUCUGCUCUUGCAACAAGCUUUUGUAAUAUUGACACAGCCUGCACUGGCAACAGUGCAACGGAUUUUGCUGGGAGGGUGUGUAGGGACUUCCCUGAAUGAAGUAUGCUGAAAGAAUUUAAAAUUUUGCUGGUCUAAAUUUAAUUUUUUUUUUUUUUUGGUCUAACUGUUGCAUGCAAUCCAGUAGGCUGAAGUAAUAUACCAGUAAUUUUAUUUAUUUAUUUAUUUAGUGCAUAGACAUGAGAGAUGUGAACCUUGCAAUACUAAGAAGAAAAGUACCAAGGAAGAGGCUCUGGGUAGUCAAAAUGGUUUUUCAUUAACACUUUAAGAUAAAAUCCAGGCCAGGUAUAGACAAGGUAUUCUUCCUCAUUCUUUUGACAAUCGAGUCUUUUCUUGCUGCCCACUCAGUUAAUGGCCUUGGACAUAGAACUAAUGAUUUUCCCACCUGCUUUCCUGCUAGCCUGCCUUGCCCACACUUGUAUCCACAGCUCCUGCAUAGCACAGCUGCUAUGAUCGUUGUCUGUGUCCAAAGCCUCCAGCCUCAAAGUAAAGGAGGGAGACAGAAAAGGUUGAGAAACUCUGACUCGUGUUACAGAUGAGCUAGAAUUUUAUUUUUGUUGAGCAAUGUUGUUACAGAAGAGCUUUCUGAUUAGCUGUUUUAUCCUAAUUGAAUAGGAUUUUGUGUUGAAGAUGUUCUGCAGGGAUAUUUCAGUUCUCUUUGCAUGUGUGCAUGGAUGUAUGUUACCAGAGAAGCAUGUCAAUAGACCCUUACACUUUUAUAUGUGCACUUACAUUGGAAGAACAUAUGACUUUUAAUUUAGUGCUACUUUUACCUCUUGCAUUUACUGGUGGUCUUUCAUGGUGUUACAGUUCACUGAACACAGGAUUAAUUCAAUCACCACUUUAUUAACAAAAGAAAUCAUGAAAAAGCGAUCUAGCAUUCUUAAUAAGUAACACUGAAUUUCCUGAUAUGACUUGUCAUGCACUAUUUUAUUACAAAGUUGAUUGACAUUAUUCUGGUUACUAUUUACUGAAAGACCAGCUUUCUACUGGAGACUAAACAAUGUAUAAUCCCUGCAGAAACCUGAGCUGCUUAAAUUAAAGUCAGAUGUGAUGUAAAAGAGAGAGUUUCUGUUAUUCUUGGCUCAGUAAUAUGCGAUUAUGGUAAUUUCUACCAGCAUACUCAGUGCCUGUGUUUUUGUGACAGGACUGAAGGGGCCUGUGCUUGGCUGUUUCUCUUCCAUUAGUGACAGGAUAAUUUAACCACUUUAAUGUAGGCUAUAGACUUGCUGGCUCAGAGAUGUUGUUGCUGUCACUUGAGAGAUAGAGGAAAGGCAUGGAGGGUUUUUGAAAGCAAAGUGCUUUAUUAUGCACUGAGGCACAUAGGUACGUGAACACAUAGUUUGUUACUCUUCCCAAGUGACUGGAGUCUUCCUCAUGUUAAUGGCUAGCUCAAAGAAUGAGGCUGCUAAAAUCAUGCUGAUAGCUGCAGGUCCAGCUAAGUUUAGCAAAUUCCAAAUAGUGUCUCAGAAAUCACUGGCAGGAGACAUACACAGAACAGUAGGGAGCUGACAUACAUUGUGGCCCCUUAGCUGUUCAGAAAUUCCUGUGAAUACCAGUUGUGGGUAAAGGUUUCAAGUAUAUGACUAGAUCUGUUGAAAUAAUGCUAUAGAAUGAAAACAGAGGGAUUAUUAUUUAUUUAUUUUUUAAUAUUGCAAUCAUUUACUAUCAACCUUACAAGUAGGAAGAGGGAGAAAUAAAACCAAACCAAACCAAACAAAACAAAAACAAGCAAACAAACAAAAACCCACCUGGCUUUGUAUGCUGGUGGAGAGGAUAUUAUAUUCCCUCCAGCCAUACUGCAAACGUGAAAUUGUAGUGAAAAUACCUUUUUCACAGGACAGAAAAAUGCAGGUCUUGUAAUUUUCCUCAGCAUAGGAAAUAAGAGCAAAUGAAAUUAAACUAGAAUUAAGCUUUUCUCUUUACCUAAAAAGAAAUAAUAUAAACAACAGGAAAUGUGUAAUCUCUUUGCCAGACAUGAGAUUUUCUUACAUUUGCCAAAGCUAGCAGAGUAAUAAUAUUGUUUCUAUUGUCACAGGCAUCAUUAAACAGAGAACCUACAAUUUGCCUGGAAUACACAUUUCCUGAGUCAUAAUCACCAUUAACUUGAAUUAUAACUAUUUAUAUCUCAGAAUCUUCAUUCAUUAUAACUCUUCAUAUUUUUCUAAUUCCUACUAAUAAUUUGCAAGAUGAUGUUGCAGAAAGAUGUUCUUUUCUCCAGACAAUUGACAACAAAAAUUGAACACUGAGAUACAUGUAAAGCUAUAAUUCAAAUGUACAGAGAAACUUCCUUCAGCAGAUUCAGAGGUGUAAUGUGUUCUGCGUUCCCAGAAACGGUUGGUCACCCAUAUCGAGGCAGAAAAUAAAAGGUUCAGGGUGGUUCAUUUGCUACAUCCUAAGCACCCACCUCUCUUGGGGUCAUACAAUAUCUUCAGAAUUCAGAAAAAUGGCCCAUGGGUUGAUUUGCAAGUGUUAACUUUGUUUGAAAAUGACAAAAUCUUGAAUUACAAAAAUCUCGAGUAGGGUAAUUAUUUAGACAGCAGUGACGCAUUAACCAUAUACCAAUGCACAAUUGGUUGAUAAUACGUUUAUAUAUAAUUGCUUAGUGAAUUUUAAAGAGUACUGUCGUUGUUGCAUACUGUGUGAAGUUGAGUGUAACCACAUUGCAACUUUAUGUCAAAAAUAGCUAAGUUAUUUAUAUUUCCUAUCUCUUAACACUGCCCUCUCAGAAAGCCUCCUUUUUCACUGUGGCUGUUUCCAAUCAUGACUCUUCAGUUAACUGAAUAAAAUGAUGUCAGUUUAAAUGGAUAAAAGAAAAAAAAUACUUUAAUACAAUUUAAUGUCUGAGAACUCACUGUUCUGCAUAUUUCUGCAAAGUUUGUGUAAAGCUUCUGUUAUUAGGUUAAUUCAUCUCUGAGGGGUGUAAUAUUUUGUGACUCUGUAUAAUCCUU